GGUUCAGUGGUAGGAUUCUCGCCUUCCACGCAGGAGACCCAGGUUCGAUUCCUGG
rnacentral:tRNA from 1 species